CUUUUCAAUUAAAUUACAACUAUAAUAACAAUACAAUUACAUAAUCCUACUCAUACAAUUAAUCGCACAAAAUGAAUUGCUAUACAACUACAAAAUUAACAAUUAAUGUCACCUGGACUAAAUAGCGCAAACAACAAGAAUGUCCAAUGUUUGUUUCACUUAGUCACAACUCAAUUCAGGCUUGAAAUCCAUCCAGUGACGGAUUUGAUCAACUGGUAAUCACAUCCGACGACUGGCAUAACUUUGGCUUCCACGUGCUAACACCAAAUCAAAAUUACUUCAUUCACUUCAAGAGCCAAUACUAAAUGAGGAAAUAAUAUGCAUUUAGUCGUAUACUUAAUACUUAAGGAUUCUGUGUCACGGCUGAACUAGUGUUUCCAUAACAUUUUACAUCUUUAACUUUAAACGAAGGUAAUUAAAGCAUAAAACAUAACAAGGGCAAAUUGUCCUUAAUCAUGUGAAUCAUACUUGCAUAUUUGAUACCCAACAAUGAACUACCAAGCUAACACUACUACAGCAGUCCAUAUUCAGAACAAACAAAAAGAAAUAUAUAAAAAUUAAGCUAAGCUAAAAAGUUUCGAAAGUGCAGAAACAGGAAUAAACAACUGCAUUAGUACGAAUCUCUAGUCAAGUGAACUAAUCUUCAUAUUCAUUCAUUUCCAUACAUUGGAAGGUGAGAUGAAUAUCUGGCAGAAUAAAAUAAGAAAGGAGGAGAAGUUCAGCAAUAGGCAGUAGCAAGAACAAUAUUCAGCAACCAAAUCACCUAGAAAUAACCGGAAAACCAAUUUUACACCAGGUUUGAACCAACAAUAGUAUCAAAUAAAGCUCAGAAUCAUAACACGGCCAACACCUGAACCCAAACACUUGAAUACCAACAAAAAUUCAAGUCUUUUUAACCAUCAGUUAUUCAGUAAUUAUUUCAGAAGUGGAGGUCUCAAGGAUUUCAAAAUCGUCUAAAGGAAUAGUUAAAUUUUUUUGUUUUAGAUUUUUGAGUUUUUUUUUCUCUUCUCUCUCUGAAUUGAGCCACAAGUAACCAUGCCUUUAUAUGCAAGUUACUAAGGCAAGAAAUAUUCAGCCAAGUUUUUGCACUUUUGAUCCCUUUUAAUUUUCCUUUUGUUAGUUAGCCCCUCAUUUUUGACUUGCUAGCCAAGUAAGUAUACUUUUCAACUUUCAGGAAGCUUCUUAGGUAGUUACUGCAAGAUUCCUUUACAUAAUCUACCAAAAAUGCCCCUUAGCUACCCUGAAAUUAUCCCUUAGCCUCAAAUGGUUUAGGGGUUAACCGACCCAAUGGUUACACAGAUUUGGGGUCAGACUAAAAUAAAAUUUUCCAAGCAAAGAGCCUGGAACUGUGUCUUAAAACAACAGCAACAAAAGGCAAGAUUAAAGAGUUAACCUCCGAUGACAGUAAAUUUAUUAAGGAUCUAACUUCACUUAGCUAAGCAAUUAACUGGUAAAGAAAUAUUUAAACUUUUAAACACAACAAUUAAAACAAUAAAACAAGCAGAUUAAAGAAACCUCAAUUAAUAUAGGAACAGAAGAAGGACCUAGUUCGAACCCAAAACCCCACACGAAUUUUUGAUUAAACCAAUUGAAAGAAAAUCAUAAGGGGCGAAAAAGAACUUACCAAAUCCUUCUCAAACCAAACGGAAAUGGAAAACUCGACCAAGCUGAUAUUGACCCUGUUGUUCUUUGUCAAGAACAAUUGAAUCGACAUCAAUCUUGCCAAGUCAGGAUCACCAACUUUGCAAGAACUUAUUGCAUGCUACCGGGCUCUAAGGGAAAUGAUUUUGGGCUUUUGAGUUGGACUUCGAAUUAUAAUAUUCGACGAGUUCUAUGUCGAUUCAAAGGAUAUGGGUAGAGAUUUGGAAUAAGGAGGACCUGGUGGUCAUCUAGUGUUAUUUUGGGGUCGACCAGAGGCGGCAGUGCCACCAGAGAAAUUGUGGAGGUGCUAGGGUUCAUAACUUCAAGCCAAGAUUCAAGGAGUUUGGGUAAGUUUUGAGGGGAGCUAGUUGUGGAUUCAAAAUGAGGAGGCAAAGGAGGGAUUGUGGUGUAAUUUCGGUGGUCAUUGAACGUCGGCCGCCGCCAUAGGCGAUUUUCGGCGGGCGGCAGGAGGUUGCUCAGGGCGGUGAUAAUGAAGGGGUCUCUGAGAGACGGAAGGGAUGAGGUGGAGGAGGUUAUGAGGGGGGUAGGUGUUCAGACAUAUAUAUGCUUAGGAGUCCUUAGCUUCAGGACCGUUAGAUCUCCAAAACCUCAACGGCCA
rnacentral:lncRNA from 1 species